AGACAGCAGCCGCCGCGGGAAAACGUAGGUGCAAGCGUUAAUCGGAAUUACUGGGCGUAAAGCGUGCGCAGGCGGUUAUAUAAGACAGAUGUGAAAUCCCCGGGCUCAACCUGGGAACUGCAUUUGUGACUGUAUAGCUAGAGUACGGCAGAGGGGGAUGGAAUUCCGCGUGUAGCAGUGAAAUGCGUAGAUAUGCGGAGGAACACCGAUGGCGAAGGCAAUCCCCUGGGCCUGUACUGACGCUCAUGCACGAAAGCGUGGGGAGCAAACAGGAUUAGAUACCCGAGUAGUCCCUGUCUCUUAUACA
rnacentral:rRNA from 1 species